GCGGAUCCCAGCUUGUCUGGCCUGCCGCCCUGGGCCGCGGAGCCGGACCGGACCCGGGGCAGUGCGGAGGACACGGGCACCGUGCGGACGACCGAACGCGCCCCUGCGGCCCGGCCGGGAUCCUUACACACUCGCGGUCGGGCUUUCUCCUGGGCCACCUGGGAACGCGAUACCUGCUAACUAACACGGAAACGACAGAGGCGAAAUUUUCUGGUUCAAUCCACCCAGCUCCCUGAAGAACUCACGCGAGGUAGCAGCGAAUCCAGGAGCGAACCCAGGCUUCUUGGCGCACUUUCUCACGCUUUUGCUUUUGUGGUCCUUCUGAGGUAAACUUCAGACAGCUCUGGAAGACAGUUACCACGAUGUCACAUGUAGCGUGUGCAACCCUACACAGGCUCCCACACAGAAUUUUCAAGAAUUUACUUCACAGGCCGGAUGUGACGGCACAUGCCAGCAAGUAGGAGGCUGAGGACCGAGGAUCACUGCAAGAUUGAGUUUCUUUCAAGCUGUUUGUUCCCCUUGGCUUUCUCUGGUCUCCAUCUUCUGUGUUAAAGCCUUUGCUCAGAAACUUGUGGCCCUGCUCAUGACUGCCAGAGGGAUCUCAACAGCUCUGAGCACCUGGCUGCAGACCACUGACAACAGACUUCACUGUAGGUGACCUGAACAGCCUGUCCAGGGUGAACUCCUACUUGUUCACUUCAGGUCUUUUUUCUUGGACUAGUCAGAGUUUCCAGUUCCCAGUUCUCCUGAUAGCCUGCUGGAGGGAGAACCCAUCCCUCUGGCAUGGGACAGCUCCCACAACUCAGCCCACAGGAAGACAAAGCUGGAGUAGAGGAACAGCGAGAAGCAGCAGAGGAUCUAGGGACCUGUUUUCAAACUUUACACCUAAACGGUAUUUCGGCCCCUGACCCUUCACCCUUAGUGCCAGGGGUACCCAGUGCUUUUCCCACUGCCAACUUGGGAUUUGCCUCUGGGAUCUGCUAAAUGAGUCAUCUCAACCAUCUGCUUUCCAGCUUCAAAAAUGUUGCUGUUGGUUCCUCUCCUAUUUAUGGAUUUAUGUAUUUUAAUAGUCUUUUUAUUGUAGUUUAGUAAAGUUUUGGGGAAGGAACAAAAUUUGAUGCAUGUGUUCAUUAUGUCAUGUUAACUUCAAGCCUAACCAUUUGUUCUUUCACAAUAAUUACUUGUAAGAGUUUCCCAAGACAAGGACAUACUUGAGAUAAUUUUAGGCAGUAUGGGAGGUAGUAUACUGUAAAAUACUUAAGCAAUAUUAAAUAACUCUGAAUCAUAAUGGAAAAGUUACUUUCUUGUAUGCUUUCUGGUUAACUCUCAGCAUGCCAGGAAAAAGUCAUCAUUUGCCACCUUAAUCCAGUGUACCAUUUUUUCCCUUUUGAACC